CCCUUAGAUGUCCUGGGCCGCACGCGCGUUACACUGAUGCAUUCAACGAGCUUAUAACCUUGGCCGAGAGGCCUGGGCAAUCUUGUUAACGUGCAUCGUGAUAGGGAUAGAUUAUUGCAAUUAUUAAUCUUGAACGAGGAAUUCCUAGUAAACGCAAAUCAUCAAUUUGCAUUGAUUACGUCCCUGCCCUUUGUACACACCGCCCGUCGCACCUACCGAUUGGAUGGUCCGGUGAAGCCUCGGGAUUGUGGUUCUUGCCGCUUUAUUGUGGCGUGACCGCGAGAACUUGUCUAAACCUUAUCAUCUAGAGGAAGGUGAAGUCGUAACA
rnacentral:rRNA from 1 species